ensembl:snRNA
AAAAAGGGCUUCUGUCGUGAGUGACACACGUAGAGUAACUUGUUUGCUUUGCGUGCGGAAUCGACAUCAAGAGAUUUCGGAAGCAUAAUUUUUUGGUAACUGGGCAGCUUGUGAUCGUUGGUCCUGGCGCCCAU